GACGAACGCUGGCGGCGUGCUUAACACAUGCAAGUCGAGCGGUAAGGCCCUUUCGGGGGUACACGAGCGGCGAACGGGUGAGUAACACGUGGGUGACCUGCCCUCAGCUCUGGGAUAAGCCUCGGGAAACCGGGUCUAAUACUGGAUAUGACUCCAUGACGCAUGUUGUGGGGUGGAAAGCCUUGUGCGGCUGAGGAUGGGCCCGCGGCCUAUCAGCUUGUUGGUGGGGUGAGGCCUACCAAGGCGACGACGGGUAGCCGGCCUGAGAGGGCGACCGGCCACACUGGGACUGAGACACGGCCCAGACUCCUACGGGAGGCAGCAGUGGGGAAUCUUGCGCAAUGGGCGAAAGCCUGACGCAGCGACGCCGCGUGAGGGAUGACGGCCU
rnacentral:rRNA from 1 species